rnacentral:rRNA from 1 species
GAUGAACGCUGGCGGCGUGCCUAAUACAUGCAAGUCGAGCGAACGGACGAGAAGCUUGCUUUUCUGAUGUUAGCGGCGGACGGGUGAGCAACACGUGGAUAACCUACCUAUAAGACUGGGAUAACUUCGGGAAACCGGAGCUAAUACCGGAUAAUAUUUUGAACCGCAUGGUUCAAAAGUGAAAGACGGUCUUGCUGUCACUUAUAGAUGGAUCCGCGCUGCAUUAGCUAGUUGGUAAGGUAACGGCUUACCAAGGCAACGAUGCAUAGCCGACCUGAGAGGGUGAUCGGCCACACUGGAACUGAGACACGGUCCAGACUCCUAUGGGAGGCAGCAGUAGGGAAUCUUCCGCAAUGGGCGAAAGCCUGACGGAGCAACGCCGCGUGAGUGAUGAAGGUCUUCGGAUCGUAAAACUCUGUUAUUAGGGAAGAACAUAUGUGUAAGUAACUGUGCACAUCUUGACGGUACCUAAUCAGAAAGCCACGGCUAACUACGUG